UACGAAGGUCCCAAGCGUUAUCCGGAUUUAUUGGGUUUAAAGGGUGCGCAGGCGGCUUCUCAAGUCAGGGGUGAAAGCCCAGAGCUUAACUCUGGAAUUGCCUUUGAGACUGAGAGGCUUGAGUACGGGAGAGGUGAGUGGAAUUCCCAGUGUAGAGGUGAAAUUCGUAGAUAUUGGGAAGAACACCGGUGGCGAAGGCGGCUCACUGGCCCGUAACUGACGCUCAUGCACGACAGCGUGGGGAUCAAACAGG
rnacentral:rRNA from 1 species